UGGCGUGUUAUUUGGCAUGCUUGUGCUCGAGCUUUGCCAUUUUGUAAGGGCUAUGGCCGGGCCAAAAUGGCGCUUGACGUGAUAAUGAGCAUGGGUUCAUAGAACCAGUAAAUUUUAUGGGCUUGUUACGACCAUUCUGUGUGGUAUAUUGCAUAUUUGCUAGGCGUGGCACAUGUGCAAGCCCAUAUGACGAACUCUUGC
rnacentral:lncRNA from 1 species